CUUCCUACCUGGCAGGGGAGACACCAUGAUCAGGCAGGGUUUUUUCCCAGGGUGAGGCUCAUCCCCUAAACUCCAGGUGUGCUGACCCCUGCCAUUUCCCCAAAUGCAAGAAACUCGAGUGCAUAAUUUGUGGUAGUGGGGGACUGUGUUUGUGAUGGUUUUUU
rnacentral:snRNA from 1 species